UACGUAGGUGGCAAGCGUUAUCCGGAUUUAUUGGGCGUAAAGGGAACGCAGGCGGUCUUUUAAGUCUGAUGUGAAAGCCUUCGGCUUAACCGGAGUAGUGCAUUGGAAACUGGCAGACUUGAGUUGGCGAGAAGUACGCGGAAUGCGCGGUGUAGCGGUGAAAUGCAUAGAUAUCGCGCAGAACUCCGAUUGCGAAGGCAGCGUACCGGCGCCAGACUGACGCUGAGGCACGAAAGCGUGGGGAUCGAACAGG
rnacentral:rRNA from 1 species